AAAAAUUUUGACUAACGAUAAAAUAAUGUGCCCUAAAUUAACUCAACACAUCUCUUUUGCCCUGAAUCGAUACACAUCUCCAGUCCAUCGCCCGAUCGCCGCCGACCCAUCGUCGCCGGACCGUCGUCGCCGGUCUAUUGUCGCUCCACGCCCUCCCAUUGACGCACCUCUGCUCUCCACUCGAAGUCAAACUCGAAGCCAAGCAGGUCGGCGGUCCAUCGUCGUCGGUCCAUCGUCCUCCACACCCUCCCAUUGACGCACCUCUGUUCUACACUCGGAGUCAAACUCGACGCUAAACAGGGUCGCCUUUGGAGAAGAGAAAACCUCCUGCUCUUGUAAGCUUGUGUCUUGGAUUUAUAGGCAAACAUCUUGAGGAUAUUAUUGAGGAUUUAGAUCUUGUGGCCAGUUUCCCACCAGACAUUAAGGUAGGUAUUAUGAUUCUGUUAUUUUACACUUAUGUAUAUGAAUAUCCUUUUUAUGCUCAAGAUUGUAGCAAAAUAUAAUAAUAUGAACAAUUAGGUUUUCUUGAUAAAUUGAGAUUUUCUACUUUUAGACCAUAUCAGUGAAGGCUUUGGCUUUUGUUUCUCCCUUUCUGUUAGAGCUUCCCUCUUGUUAAGCUCUUUACUCAGUGAAUCAAGCUUUUUCCUCCUUUUCUCCAAGUCUAACACUCUUUUCACAUGCUCUCGUGCAAAGCACUGCAUGUUUCUUGUCUCUGGGUUAGCAUAAAACUUAAUAUAAUCUUAUCAAGCAAAAAUCGAGGCAAGUAGGCAGUUAGAGAUGCAAAAGUCAAUUAAAAUGGCCUUAGAGGAAGCUAGUCACAAGGCCUCCAAACAAAAGCGCUUGAUAAGGAUCUAUAUCACAUUAUUUUGUAGCUAUUAUUUGUGUAUAGUUUAUAAAAUGAGUAAGCUGGGUUAGAAUUGGAAAACUUACUGUUUUUGGAAAUCUAUUUUGGUGGUUGUUUUUAACUUUGUUCUAAGAUUCAUAUGAUAUUCUAGCCAUUUCAGUAUUGUAUA